rnacentral:rRNA from 1 species
GAUGAACGCUAGCUACAGGCUUAACACAUGCAAGUCGAGGGGAAACGAUAGAGAAAGCUUGCUUUUUCUAGGCGUCGACCGGCGCACGGGUGAGUAACGCGUAUCCAACCUGCCCAUCACUUGGGGAUAACCUUGCGAAAGUAAGACUAAUACCCAAUGACGUCCAUAGAAGACAUCUGAAAGGGAUUAAAGAUUUAUCGGUGAUGGAUGGGGAUGCGUCUGAUUAGCUUGUUGGCGGGGUAACGGCCCACCAAGGCGACGAUCAGUAGGGGUUCUGAGAGGAAGGUCCCCCACAUUGGAACUGGGACACGGUCCAAACUCCUACGGGAGGCAGCAGUGAGGAAUAUUGGUCAAUGGGCGAGAGCCUGAACCAGCCAAGUAGCGUGCAGGAUGACGGCCCUAUGGGUUGUAAACUGCUUUUAUAAGGGUAUAAAGUGAGCCUCGUGAGGCUUUUUGCAUGUACCUUAUGAAUAAGGACCGGCUAAUUCCGUGCCAGCAGCCGCGGUAA